rnacentral:rRNA from 1 species
UACAGAGGUCUCAAGCGUUGUUCGGAUUCAUUGGGCGUAAAGGGUGCGUAGGUGGCGCGGUAAGUCGGGUGUGAAAUCUCGGGGCUUAACUCCGAAACUGCAUUCGAUACUGCCGUGCUUGAGGACUGGAGAGGAGACUGGAAUUUACGGUGUAGCGGUGAAAUGCGUAGAUAUCGUAAGGAAGACCAGUGGCGAAGGCGGGUCUCUGGGCCGAAACUGACGCUGAGGAGCGAAAGCGUGGGGAGCAAACAGG